ensembl:lncRNA
ACACACGCUGCUGAGUGAAGACAGCAGUCUCAAAAGGGAGAUGUCAGCAAAUCAAAGCCUACUUUUUCACAUCCAUGAAGCUGGUGAGAAUUCAGGUGUGUGUCUGUGGGACAUGACCGGGCCCCACCCUGUGCGGAGCAGGUGCCUCCCAGGACUUCAAAGGUCCCAGAGAAAAGGGGCUGCAAACAGAAAGAGCUGGAAGUUUUGAUUUUCCUGAGAAGUCUCAGGCUUUUGUAAGGCCUUACAAAUAGCUGAGAAGAGAAGCAAAAGGCAAAGGAGAAACGGAAAGAUAUACCCAUUCGAAUGCAGAGUUCCAAAGAAUAGCAAGGAGAGAUAAGAAAGCCUUCCUCAGCGAUCAAUGCAAAGAAAUAGAGGAAAACAAUAGAAUGGAAAAGACUAGAGAUCUCUUCAAGAAAAUUAUAGAUACCAACUGAACAUUUCAUGCAAAGAUGGGCACAAUAAAGGACAGAAAUGGUAUGGACCUAAAGCAGAAGAUAUUAAGCAGAGGUGGCAAGAAUACACAGAAGAAUUGUACAAAAAAGGUCUUCAUGACCCAGAUAAUCAUGAUGGUGUGAUCACUCACCUAGAGCCAGACAUCCUGGAAUGUGAAGUUAAGUGGGCCUUAGGAACCAUUACUUACGAACAAAACUAGUGGAGGUGAUGGGAUUCCAGCUGAGCUAUUUCAAAUCCUGAAAGGUGAUGCUGUGAAAGUGCUGCACUCAAUAUGCCAGCAAAUCUGGAACACUCAGCAGUGGCCACAGCACUGGAAAAGGUCAGUUAU